UACGUAGGGUGCAAGCGUUGUCCGGAAUUAUUGGGCGUAAAGAGCUCGUAGGCGGUCUGUCGCGUCGGAUGUGAAAAUCCAGGGCUCAACCCUGGACCUGCAUUCGAUACGGGCAGACUAGAGUUCGGUAGGGGAGACUGGAAUUCCUGGUGUAGCGGUGAAAUGCGCAGAUAUCAGGAGGAACACCAGCGGCGAAGGCGGCGCUCUGGGCCGGAACUGACGCUGAGGAGCGAAAGCGUGGGGAGCAAACAGG
rnacentral:rRNA from 1 species